GUACUCUCAUGUCAGUCAGAAGCUAUAGAGCACCCCACAGGAGGGUGGUGAGGGCGAAGAAGAGCCUCCCUGGCUUAUCCAAUGUGCUCCCUGGACAAGCCUCCCUGGCUUGCCCAGAUGUGCUGACCCCUGCUAUUUCCCCAAAUGUGGGAAACUCGACUGCAUAAUUUGUGGUAGUGGGGAACUACAUUCCUGAGGCUCUCAC
rnacentral:snRNA from 12 species